rnacentral:rRNA from 1 species
AGAGUUUGAUCCUGGCUCAGAACGAACGCUGGCGGCAGGCCUAACACAUGCAAGUCGAACGAUGUAGCAAUACAUAGUGGCGCACGGGUGAGUAACGCGUGGGAAUCUGCCCAGUAGUACGGAAUAACAGUUGGAAACGACUGCUAACACCGUAUACGCCCUUCGGGGGAAAUAUUUAUAGCUAUUGGAUGAGCCCGCGUAAGAUUAGGUAGUUGGUAGGGUAAUGGCCUACCAAGCCUACGAUCUUUAGCUGGUCUGAGAGGAUGAUCAGCCACACUGGAACUGAGACACGGUCCAGACUCCUACGGGAGGCAGCAGUGGGGAAUAUUGGACAAUGGGGGAAACCCUGAUCCAGCCAUGCCGCGUGAGUGAUGAAGGCCUUAGGGUUGUAAAGCUCUUUUGCCAGGGAAGAUAAUGACGGUACCUGGAGAAUAAGACACGGCUAACUUCGUGCCAGCAGCCGCGGUAAUACGAAGGUGUCUAGCGUUGUUCGGAAUCACUGGGCGUAAAGCGCGCGCAGGCGGACUACCAAGUCUGAGGUGAAAGCCCGAAGCUCAACUUCGGAAUUGCCUUGGAAACUGGUAGUCUAGAGUGCAAUAGGGGGUAGCGGAAUUCCAAAUGUAGAGGUGAAAUUCGUAGAUAUUUGGAGGAACACCGGUGGCGAAGGCGGCUACCUGGAUUGCAACUGACGCUGAGGCGCGAAAGCGUGGGGAUCAAACAGGAUUAGAUACCCUGGUAGUCCACGCUGUAAACGAUGAAUGCUAGCUGUUGGCCCGUUAGGGUCAGUGGCGCCGCUAACGCAUUAAGCAUUCCGCCUGGGGAGUACGGUCGCAAGAUUAAAACUCAAAGGAAUUGACGGGGACCCGCACAAGCGGUGGAGCAUGUGGUUUAAUUCGAGGCAACGCGAAGAACCUUACCAGGCCUUGACAUGGUUAGUAUGGACUCCAGAAACGGAGUUCUUCAGUUCGGCUGGCUAACACACAGGUGUUGCAUGGCUGUCGUCAGCUCGUGUCGUGAGAUGUUGGGUUAAGUCCCGCAACGAGCGCAACCCUCAUCUUUAGUUGCUACCAUUUAGUUGAGCACUCUAAAGAAACUGCCGGUGAUAAGCCGGAGGAAGGCGGGGAUGACGUCAAGUCCUCAUGGCCCUUACGGCCUGGGCUACACACGUGCUACAAUGGCGGUGACAGAGCGCAGCUAACCCGCGAGGGUAAGCGAAUCGCUAAAAACCGUCUCAGUUCGGAUUGCUCUCUGCAACUCGAGAGCAUGAAGCUGGAAUCGCUAGUAAUCGUAGAUCAGCAUGCUACGGUGAAUACGUUCCCGGGUCUUGUACACACCGCCCGUCACACCAUGGGAAUUGGUUCUACCUUAAGCUGGUUGCCUAACUUCGGAGGGCGCCAACCACGGUCGGGUCAGUAACUGGGGUGAAGUCGUAACAAGGUAGCCGUAUCGGAAGGUGCGGCUG